GCAUAUCAAUAAGCGGAGGAAAAGAAACUAACAAGGAUUCCCUUAGUAACGGCGAGUGAAGAGGGAAGAGCUCAAAUUUUAAAUCUAUCAUGUUUGUACAUGAUCGAAUUGUAAUUUGAAGAAGCGUUUUCUCGUACUUUAUGCAAUCAGUAUAAGUUCUCUUGGAACAGGACAUCAUAGAGGGUGAUAAUCCCGUCUGUUACUGGUUGUGAGGUUCGUUAUGAUACGCUUUCAAAGAGUCGAGUUGUUUGGGAUUGCAGCUCCAAAUGGGUGGUAAACAUCACCUAAGGCUAAAUAUUUGCGAGAGACCGAUAGCGAACAAGUACCGUGAGGGAAAGAUGAAAAGAACUUUGAAAAGAGAGUUAAAAAGUAUGUGAAAUUGUUGAAAGGGAAACGAUUGAAGUCAGUCGUGCAGUCAUCAAUUCAGCGGUUAACAUUUUUAUGUUUCCGUGUAAUUUGGUGUCUGUUGGUUAGCAUCAAUUUUGAUUGUUAUAAAAAGGUUAAGGGGAUGUGGCUCCUUCGGGAGUGUUAUAACCCUUAGCGUAAUGUGACGAUUAGGAUUGAGGUUUGCAACGAAUACCUUUUAGGGCAGUUUCACCUGGCCUCUCGUGGAAUUAUAGAUAGUUAAGAGCAUGCUUCUUACUGUCUAUGAUUCUACGAAAAGGUUAGUGUAAAACUAAUUCGUUAAGGAUGUUGACGUA
rnacentral:rRNA from 1 species